rnacentral:rRNA from 1 species
GCCAGACUCCUACGGGAGGCAGCAGUGGGGGAUAUUGCACAAUGGGGGGGACCCUGAUGCAGCGACGCCGCGUGGGUGAAGGAGCGUUUCGGCGCGUAAAGCCCUAUCGGCAGGGAAGAAACAGACGGUACCUGACUAAGAAGCCCCGGCUAACUACGUGCCAGCAGCCGCGGUAAUACGUAGGGGGCAAGCGUUAUCCGGAUUUACUGGGUGUAAAGGGGGCGCAGACGGCGAUGCAAGCCAGGAGUGAAAGCCCGGGGCCCAACCCCGGGACUGCUCUUGGAACUGCGUGGCUGGAGUGCAGGAGGGGCAGGCGGAAUUCCUGGUGUAGCGGUGAAAUGCGUAGAUAUCAGGAGGAACACCGGUGGCGAAGACGGCCUGCUGGACGGUGACUGACGCUGAGGCUCGAAAGCGUGGGGAGCAAACAGGAUUAGAUACCCUAGUA